CAAGGCCUUUAGAGAUGAUCAGACAUGUCACACACCUGGUUUCCGCUCACCAACACUGGACACAGCCCCUCAAACUAUCUCUCCUCACUCACUGCCGAAGUUAUCUGCUGUGCAGUUUGAAUCUCCGAUUGCAAACUCUGGCUUAUUUUACGUUCUACCACCUUAAUUCAGACCCUCAGUCCUGGGGUGGAGGGAGAUGCCAUCUUGGUUGCCUGGGGGCCUGUCCCCUCCCUGAUCCAUGCAGCUCCUGGGAAGCAUCUAGGGAACUGGAAAUAGGCCUCACUGUCAGCCCCUCACCACCCCGCUGACAUCCUCAGGGGCAGUGGGUCUGUGGGGGCUCUCAGCCUUUACCCCUUGCAAAGGGUUGGGCAGUCUCCACAGGGUCUCUUCCAGCCCCAGGGAACCCCGAGAGCUGCAUUUCUUGGCUCUCCCACCUGUCUCAACCCCUGGCUUCAUUGCUUCUUUUGCAAAAGACUGGAAGAAUAUUUGACUUCUGGUUGCUUCUGCAUUUAAUCCUGUAAGUAUCCCUGAAACCUCCAAACCCUAAGGAUUUGAAAUUUGGAGGACAAAGACAACUUAAAAAUUCUGUAAGCUAUCUUGCCAUAGGUAUUUCUAACUAUCAUUGAAAUAACCUGAUAUGUAUUAUUUAUCACACUUCAAGGUUAUGUAUAAGGGCAAAAUGUGAAAGAUUGCCCUUAAGUCAUAAAGGCAAUAACAAGCAUCUGCAUAUUUUUUUCUUAUGCUUUACUUUGGCUUUUUAAAAUUAUCUGGUUGUUAUUAUGGUUGUCAAAAUAUAAACAAUUUUUAAAAAUACACAAAUGACCCUAUUAUGAUUUAAAAAAAAAAAACAAGUUAAUAGUAUCCAAAUUUCUUUCCCAUUUUAGUAUGGAUAUAUCAGUACACAUGUUAUUUUACAUUCUGACCUUCUCAUUUAUUCAGAAUUUCAAUGUUACCAUAUAAAUGUUAUCAAAUUAAUUUACAAGGUCUGCGUGAAAUUAAUUAAAAUAUGCACAGAUCCUACAACCUCAGAAUUCUACUUUGCACAAGUGUUUGGAACAAACUUAACAGCCCUUUCUAUCUUGUAAAGUUUUCAUUGCUCGCCCCACUUAAGAAAACAGAAUGCUAGGGCACCUGGGAUGGCUCAGUUGGUUGAGCUUCCGUCUUUGGCUCGUGUCAUGAUCUCACAGUUCGUGAGUUCAAGUCCCAUGUCAGGCUCUGUGCUGUCAACAUAGAGCCUGCUUUGGGUCCUCUGUCCCCCUCUCUCUGCCCCUUCCCCACUUGUGCUCUCCCCAACAUAGAAAGAAAGAAAGAAAGAAAGAAAGAAAGAAAGAAAGAAAGAAAGAAAGAAAGAAAGAAAGAAAGAAAGAAAGAAAGAAAGAAAGAAAGAAAAGAAAACAGAAUGCUUCUGCAUUUUAUCCCACCCUCUUAAUCUUUUCUACUUGAAACACCAGUUGCCUCUGUCAGGGGCCUCCCUGUGCAGGACACCGCUGUUGCCUCACAGACAAAGGCAUAAAGUCAGUGAAAACCAAUGCCAGCUGCUUGCCUAUUGCUAGAGAAAGGGGUCAUCUUUCCUGACUUUUAUCGCCCUCUACCCCCCACAAAGACUUUUCAUCCCCCUAACUUCUUUAGAGUUCCUAGGGCUGGCCAUGCAGGGCUGUCCCCAAAGGGCUUUCAGCCCUACGGUAACACUCUAGGAGCCAAAUUGGCUUCAUCUUCCCUCCUGAAACAGAAACCAUAAGGUCCAACCCUGAAAUAUGAAGGAAAACCCUGAAUGCAAUUUCAUCUCUGAAAUUCCUGUAGUGGUUUUCAACAUAUGCUUCACAAGGAAUGGUCUGGGGUGGUAGGUGGGGGAGAAUUGACUGUCUGUCCCUAGAACCUAAAAUAGUUGUACCCUGCGCAUAUUCUACCAAUCAGCAACUGCUUCUCCUGCUACCAUCAUCCGCUACUCUUCUAUAAAUAAAGAGUCUGAUACAUUAAAUUCCCGAGGGUCAAUCAAAUGUUUAUUUGCUCAAUAAAUAAUCAAAUGUUUAUUUAUGGCCCCUUAUAUUUUCUCAGAAAUUUCAGGAGAGCAUGGAGGAAAUAUUAAAGUAAUUCUUUUUCUUUUGCUAUCCCUGACUCCCACCCUCAGGUUAGGAUCCACCAACUGAGCAACAGAUUGAAGAGAAAAUACUGUGGUUUUGGGUUUUAUUUUUUUCAUUAUGAAGAUAAAGAAAUCAUUACCAAGUUCUGGAAUCUGGGAAGCCCAAGAUAAAGGUACCAUUAGAUUUGAUGUCUGAUGAAAGCCCAGUUUCUCAUUCAUAGAUGACCAUCUUCCUGCUGUGUCCUCACAAGGUGGAAGAGGUCGGAAAGCUGGGGAGAAGGCAGAGUAAGAGGACCCUAAGCUCACCUCAUCCCACAGACACAACUAGAUAGCACUCACAUCAGUGUAAAUAACACAGAAAAUGGGCCGAAGACUGGAAGAACAGACUUUGCAACUAAAGGUAGGGAAGAGGCCAUACUGAAGAAGGUAAGAAGAGUGAAGGUGUGGUUUGGGAGUGAAAGAAACCAUGGCCAUUUAUGGCUGGACAGAGCUGGGUCUCAGAGAAGGGCAAGAAACAGACUGUCAUGCUGGGGAGCCUGCACAAGGAAGAUGAAUCCCCAUAACAUUUGGCCAAACUUAGUAAGUUCUUACGACUAACAGAACUUAAAUACUGGAAUUUUAAAAAUUACUGAGCUUGGGGGGAGCCUGGAGGGUGUUAGGAAGCUGAGUUUCCACCUGCGUGGAGACAGCACCAGAGCCAGUGAAAAUACAGCAUAGAAGGAACAGUUUGAAAAACACUUGUGGCAGGGGUGCCUGGGUGGCUUAGUCAGUUAAGCAUCUGACUUCAGCUCAGGUCAUGAUCUCAUGGUUCGUGAGUUCAAGCCCCAAGUUGGGCUCUGUGCUGAUGGCUCAGAGCCUGGAGCCUGCUUUGGAUUCUGUGUCUCUCUGUCUCUCUGCCCCUCCCCUGCUCACUCUCUGUCUCUGUCUCUCUCUCAAAAAUAAAUAAACUUUAAAAAAAGAAAAAGAAAAGAAAAAGACCUGUGGCAUAUGGGAGGGAGAGUGAUGUACUCAUUGCAGAGCAUGGCCCCAAGAAGCAGGGAUCACAAGGAGACCCCUCUGGGAACAAAGAAACUGGCAAGUGUCAUUUCCUCCCUCUGCCCUUCAACAUGAGCACAGGGCCACCUGUGGGAACCAGUUGAGCAUCAACAUUUGCUGCCUAACUUGCUUAUACCAAGCCCUGUCCCCCUGCACUUUGGCAGGUCUGCCCUUACCAGUCAUGCUUGCCUCAGUCCCAGCACUGCAGGCCCCCUCCCCCAGAAGACUGGCACAAACUUCACUGGCACUGGGUCUUCCGACAUGCCUUGUGCAUGGCCUCUCUUCUGGCAGGUUUCAUUUCACAAGCGCACCAGUGCACACCUUGUUAAAAUGUGCCCUACCUGUCAGGGACCAAACACUGCCCACAACAGGCAAAGACAGCCUCUGCAGAUGACUGGACUGAAGGAAAAAGAGGCUAGGACUCAACAGCAGAGUACACACAACACACAUAGGACACACUCCCUGAAGUGCCACGUCCUGGGGAACAGGAAACACUGUACUACACGAUUCUAUAGUGUCUCUUUUUCAUAAGGCCAUUACCUUCGAGAGCAAGAGACAUAGCUAACUUUCUUAACACAGAGAAAGAGAGAGAGAGGUAGAGAAAAUGAAAAGACAGAGGAAUAUGUCCAAAAUGAAAGAAGAGGACCAAAUCAUGGCAAGAGACCUAAGUGAAACAGAUAUAAAUAAUGUGUCCCACAGAGAAUUUAAAGGAAUGAUCAUAAAGAUACUCACAGGACUUGAGAAAAGAGUAGAGGACAUUAGUGAGACCCUUAACAAAGAGAUAAAAAAAGAACCAAUCUGUGAUGAAAAACACAAUAAGUGAAAUUAAAAAUACAUCUGAUGGAAUAAAUAGCAGGCUAGAGGAAGUAGAGAAACAAAUUGAGACCUAGAAGACAGAGUGAUGGAAAGUAACCAAGCUGAGCAAAUGAAAGAAAAAAAAGUUAUAAAAAUUGAGAAUAGUCUUAGGAAAUUCAGUGACUCCAUCAAAUGUACUAAUAUUCAUAUCAUGGGGAUCACAGAAGAGAGACAAAAGGGAGCCGAAAACUUAUUUGAAGAAAUACUAGCUGAAAAUUUCCCUAAUCUGGGGAAGGAAACAGAUAUCCAGAUCCAGGAGGCACAAGGAUUCCCCCACUCCCAAAUCAACCCAAGGUCUAUACCAACACAUAGUAAUUAAAAUGCAAAAAGCAGAGAUAAAGAAAUAAAUUUUAAAGCAGCAAGAGAAAAGAAGCUAGUUACAUACAAGGGGAAACCCCAUAAGGCUAUCAGAGGAUUUUUCAGCAGAAACCUUGCAAGCCUGAAGGAAGUGACAUGAUAUAUUCAAAGUGCUGAAAGAGAAAAAUAUGUAGCCAUAAUACUCUAUCCAGAAAGCUUAUCAUUCAGAAUAGAAGGUGAGAUAGAGUUUCUCAAACAAAACCUAAAGGAAUUCAUGACCAUUAAACCAGCCCUACAAGAAAAAUUAAAGGUGAUCCUUUAAGUGGAAAAGAGAGACCAUAAGUGAGAGUAUUAAAGGAAAAAGCAUAAAAACAGUAAAAAAAAAAUAAGUAUUUCUGUAAAAAUCAGUCAAGGAAUUCAUAAAAUAGAAGGAUAUAAAAUAUGACACCAUAUACCUAAAACAUGGGAGGGGAGAGGAGUAAAGAAUGGGUUCAAACUUAAGCAACUAUCAACUUAAUAUACAUUGCUAUAUGCAGAAGAUGUUAUAUACAAACCUAAUGGUAACAACAAACCAAAAACCAGUAACAGAUAUUCAAACAAUAAAAAGAAAAGAAUCCAAGUAUAUCACUAAAGAAAACCAACAGACCACAAGAAAGAAAAAAAAAAAAAAAAAAAACAAGAGAAGGAAGUAUCAGGGGAAAAUUGCAAAAACAACCACAAAACAAGUAACAAAAUGGCAAUAAAUACAUACCUAUCAAUAAUUACUUUGAAUGCAAAUGGAAUAAAUGCUCCAAUCAAGACAUAGUAUGACAGAGUGGAUUAAGAAACAAGACCCAUCUAUAUGCUGCCUACAAGAGACUCACUUCAGACCUAAAGACAUCUGCAGAUUGAAAGUGAAGGGAUGGAGAUACAUUUAUCAUACAAAUGGAUAUCAAAAUAAAGCCAGAGUAGCAAUCCUUACAUAGAACAAAAUAGACUUUAAAACAAAGACUGUAACAAGAGAUAAAGAAGGGCACUAUACAAUAAUAAAGAGGAUAGCCUAACAAGAAGAUAUUUAUGCACCCAACAUGAGAGCACUCAAAUACAUAAAAGAGUUAAUAACAAACAUAAAGGAACUAAUCAAUGGUAAAACAAUAAUAGUUGUAGGGGACUUUAACACCUCACUUAGAUCAAUGGACAGAUCAUUCAAACAAAAUCAACAAGGAAACAAUGGCUUUGAAUGACACACUGGAUCAGAUGGAUUUAACAGACAUAUUCAGAACAUUCUACCCUAAAACAGUAGAGUACACAUCCUUUUCAAGUGCACAUAGAACAUUCUCCAGAACAGAUCACGUAUUAGGCCACAAAACAAGCCUCAACAAACUAAAAAAGAUUGAAGUCAUACCAUGCGUCUCUUCUGACCACAAUAUAUGAAACUAGAAAUAAAUCAUAAGAAAAAAUCGGGAAAGGGGCACCUGGGUGGCUCAAUCAUUUAAGCAUCCAACUCUUAAUUUCAGCUUAUGUCAUGGUCUCAUGGUUCAUGAGUUCGAGCCUCACAUCAGGCUCUGUGCAUACAGCAAAGAGCCUGCUUGCAAUUCUCUCUCUGCCCCUCCCCCACUGUCUAAAAAAAAAUGAACAUUUUUAAAAAAGAAAAUAAAGAAAAAAUCUGGAAAGAGCAAAAAUACAUGGAGGUUAAGUAACAUGUUACUAAAUAAUGAAUGGAUGGGCAAGCCAAAAUAUCAAAGAAGAAAUUUAAAAUAUGCAUGAAAACAAAUGAAAAUGAAAACACAUAGGUCCAAAAGCUUCGGGAUGCAGCAAAAGUGGUUCUAGGAGGGAAGUUUAUAACAACACAAGCCUACCUCAAGAAGCAAGAAAAAUCUCAAACAAUCUAAUCUUACACCUAAAGAAGCUAGGGGAAAAAAAAGAACAAACAAAACCAAAGCCAGCAGAAGAAAGGAAAUAAUAAAUAUUAGACAGAAAUAAAUGAUAUAGAAACUAAAAAAAAAAAAGAAUAACAGAUCAAUGAAACCAGGAGCUAGUUUUUUGAAAAGAUCAACAAAAUUGAUGAACUUCUAGUCAGACUCAUCAGAAACAAAAAGUGACAGAGACAGAGAGAGAGAGACAAAUAAAAUCACAAAUGAAAGGGGAGAAAUAAAAAAACAAUAAAUACUACAGACAUAAAAACAAUUGUAACAGAAUAUUAUGAAAAACUAUAUGCCAACAAAUUGGACAACCUAGAGGAAAUGGAUAAAUUCCUAGAAACAUAUAACCUACCAAAACUGAAACAAGAAGAAAUAGAAAAUUUGAAGAGACUGGUUACCAGCAAUGAAAUUGAAUAAGUAAUAAUAAUGAUGAUGAUGAUGAUAAUAAUAAAACCUCCCAACAAACAAGCUUUGCAGGUGCAUUUUACCAAACAUUUAAAGAAGAGUUAAUACCUGUUCUUCUCAUACUAUUCCAAAAAAUAAAAGAGGAAGGAAAGCUUCCAAAUUUAUUCUGUGAGGCCAGUAUCACCUUGAUAUCAAAACCAGAUAAAGAACCACAAAAAAAAGGAGAACUACAGACCAAUAUCUCUGAUGAACGUAGAUGCAAAAAUCCUCAACAAAAUACUAGCAAAUUGAAUCCAACAAUACAUAUUAAAAAUUAUUUCACCACAGUCAAGUGGGAUUUAUUCUCAGGAUGCAAGUGUGGUUCAAUAUUUGCAAGUCAAUGUGAUACAGCACAUCAAUAAGAGAAAGGAUAAAACCCAUAUGAUCAUUUCAAUAGAUGCAGAAAAAGCCUUUGACAUAGUGCAACAUCCAUCAGGAUAAAACCCUAAACAAAGCAGGUCUAGAGGGAACAUACCUCAACAUAAUAAAGGCUAUAUGUGAAAAACCCACAGCAAUCAUCACACUCAAUGGGGAAAAACAGAGCUUUUUCCCUAAGGUCAGGAUCAAGACGAAGAUGUCCCCUCUCACCAUUUUUAUUCAAGAUAGCACUGGAAGUUCUAGCCACAGCAAUUAGACAACAAAAAGAAAUAAAAGGCAUCCAAAUUGUUAAGGAAGAAUUAAAGCUUUCACUAUUUGCAGAUGACGUGAUACUAUAUAUAGAAAACCCUAAAAACCCCACCCAAAAACCACUAGAACUGAUAAAUGAAUGCAGUAAAGUCACAGGAUACAAAAUUAAUGUACAGAAAUCUGUUGCAUUUCUGUACCCUAAUAAUGAAGCAGAAUACAAUGAAAUUAAGAAAACAAUCUCAUUUAUAAUUUUACCAAAAACAAUAAAAUAUGUAUGAAUAAACUUAACCAAAGAGAUGAAAGACCUGUACGGUGGAAACUAUAAAACACUGAUAAAGAAAUUGAAGAUGACUCAAAGAAAUGGAAAAACAUUCCAUGCUCAUGGAUUGGAAGAACAAAUAUUGUUACAAUGUCUAUACUACCCAAAUUAGUCUACGCAUUUAAUGCAAUACUUAUCAAAAUAUCCACAGCAUUUUUCACAGAGCUGAAUCAUACAAUCCUAAGAUUUGUACACAACCGCAAAAGACCACGAAUAGCCAAAGCAAGCUUGAGAAAGAGAAACAAACCAAUAAAACUAGUGGUAUUACAAUUCCAGGCUUCAAGUAUAUUACAAAGCUGUAAUAAUCAAAACAGUAUUUCACUGACCUAAAAAUAAACACAUAGAUCAAUGGAACAGAACAGAAAACCCAGGAAUAAAUCCAUCAUUAUAUGUCAAUUAAUCUCUGACAAAGGAGGAAAUAAUAUAUAAUGGGAAAGACAGUCUCUUCAGUAAACUGUGUUGGGAAAACUAAACAGCCACAUGCAAAAGAAUGAAGCUGGACCACUUUCUUACACCAGACACAAAAAUAAACUCAAAAUGGACUAAAGAUCAAAAUAUAAAAUCUGAAACCAUACAGAUCCCAGAAGAGGGCACAGGGAGUAAUUUCUUUGACAUUGGCUGUAGCAGCAUUUUUCUAGAUAUGUCUCCCAAGGCAAGGGAAAUAAAAGCAAAAAUAAACUAUUAGGACUACAUCAAAAUAAAAAGCUUCUGAACAUAGGGCACCUGAGUGGCUCAGUCGACUGAGUCUCCAACCCUUGAUUUCAGCUCAGGUCAUGAUCCCAGGAUCUUGGGAUCAAGCCCUGCACCAGGCUCCACUGAGCAUGGAGCCUGCUUUGGCUUCUCUUUCUCUCUCCCCUUCUCCCCCACUCUCAUGCACUUGCUCUCUCCUUAAAAUAAAAUAAGAAAUCUUCUGAACGGUGAAGGAAACAGCAAAACUAAAAGGCAAUCUAGUGAAUGGGAGAAGAUAUUUACAAAUAACAUCCAAUAAAGCAUUGGUGUCCAAAAUCUCUAAAGAACUUAAAACAUUCAACACCCAAAAAACAAAUAACCCAAUUAAAAUUGGGCAGAAGACAUGAAUAGACAUUUCUCUAAAGACAUACAUACAGUUGGCCAAGAGACAAAUGAAAAGACGUUCAACAUCACUCAUCAUCAGAGAAAUGCAAAUCAAAAGUACAAUGAGGUAGCACCUCAUACCUGUCAGAAUGGCUAAAAUCAAAAACACAAGAAACAACAAGUGUUGGCAAAGACAUGGAGAAAAAGGAAAGCUCUUGCACUGUUGGUGGGAAUGCUGAUACAGCCACUGUGGCAUGGAAAACAAUAUGGAGGAAAACAAUAUGGAGGUUCCUCAAAAAGUUAAAAAUAGAGCUACCCCGUGAUCUAGCAAUUGCAGUACUAAAUAUUUACCCAAAGAAUACAAAAAUAUUAAUUCAAAGGGAUACACACACACUGAUGUUUAUAGUAGCAUUAUCUACAGUAACCAAAUUAUGGAAGCAGCCCAAGUGUCCAUUGAUUGAUGAAUAGAUAACGAAGAUGUAGUAGAUAGAUACACUGAGAUAUUAUUCAGCCAUAAAAAGAAUGAAAUCUUGCCAUUUGCAAUAGCAUAGAUGGAGCUAGAGAGUAUUACGCUAAGCAACAUAAGUCAAAAACAAAUACCAUAUGAUGUCACUCAUAUCUAGAAUUCAAGAAACAAAACAAGCAAGGGAAGAAAAGAGAGAGAGGCAAACCAAGAAAUAGACUCUUAACUAUAGAGAACAAACUAUGGUCGCCAGAGCAGAGGUGGGAGAGGGGAUGGGUAAAAUAAGUGAUGAAGUUAAAGACUACACUUAUCAUGACGAGCACUGGGUAAUGUAUACAAUUGUUGACUCACUAUAUUGUACACCUGAAACUAGUAUAACACUGUAUGUUAACUAUACUGGGAUUAAAAUGAAAAACAAUGAAAAAAUAAAUUUGCAAAAAACAUAUCCAUAAGGCAAUUUAUUCCAGUUCGGUUUGUAAUAGCAAGAGAAUGUAAAACAAAUAUCCAUGAAUAGGUUACUGGCUGAAGUUAAAUAAAUCACGGCACAUCCUGAUCAUUCAGCUGUAAAAUGAAGUGAGGAAUAUCUCUACAUAUGGAUAGGGACUGAUGCCCAACAUGUGUAUUAUUUUAAUUUAAUUUAAUUUUUUAGUUUAUUUAUUUUGAGAGAGAGAGAGAGCAGGGGAGGGGCAGACAAGGAAGGAGAGAGAGAAUCCCAAGCAGGCUCCGUGCUGUCAGCACAGAGCCCAACACAGGACUUGAUCCCACAAACGGUGAGAUCAUGACCUGAGCUGAAACCAAGAGUUGGACGCUUAACCAACUGAGCCACCCAGGCACCCCCCACCCCGGCCCCAGCACAUGUAUUUUUUAUUUUGUUUUCCUGGAUAUAUUUUAAAUGAAAAGAGGAAAGUGAAGAAAACUGUAUGUGCACGAUCUACCAUUUAUCUAAGAAAGUGGUUGUGAUAUAUCUCUAGAUAAGAUAGAUGGACAAAAGAACUAAUGGAAUAAAACAAAAACUCUUUUUAAAAGGUUGUUUAUACUCCUAGGCAUACACCCAAGAGAAAAGAACACCCAUAUGCCCACACAUAAACUUGAAUAUGAAUGUUCAUAGCAGAAUUAUUCAUAAUAGCCAAAAAAUAGAAACAACCCAACUCUCCAUCAACUGAUGAAUGAAUAAACAAACUGCAUUACCUGCAUACAAUGGAAUGUUAUUCAGCCAUGAAGAAGAAACUCUGAAUACAUUAUGCUAAGUGAGAUAAGUCUCUCACAAAAGGCAACAUACCAUAUUAUUCCACUCUUAUGAAAAGUUCAGAAUAGACAAACUCACAAAGAAACAAAGUAGAUUGGUGGUUGCCAGGGCUGGGAGGAGUGGGGAAUUGGGGGUGACUGCUAACAGAGGUUUCUUUUGGAAGAGAUGAAAUAUUCUGAAAUAAGAUAGUAAUUGCUGCAUAACUUUUAAAAUGUACUAAAAACCACUGAAUUUGUGCUCUUUAAAAGGGUAAAUGUUAAAGUGUGUUAAUUAUAUGUCAAUAAAAAAAUUUAACUUUAUCAAUAGAGGCAACACAGUGGAAAGAGCAGUAAUAGGAAUGGAUUUCUCUGAAUAUAUCUUCUUCAGUGGAUUUAAGUUUAGAAUUGUGUGAAUAUGUUACAUAGUUGUACAAUCAAUUUGACAAAAAUUAAAAAGCAACCCUUAGGGGUGUACUUCUGGCAUGGCAACGUUAGGACCUCUGUGUUCCCUCUCCACAGUGAAAUUGGUGAAAAUCACUUCUAAAUAUUCAUUCUCUAGAAAUGCUCUUCAGGCCAUAUAGCAAAUGAAGAAACAUUUAUUCAAGAAAACCUAUUAAACCUUAGUAAGAACAAUGAGAAUUGGUGGCAUCUGACCCACGACCCUCUCCCUCUCCUUCCCGACUCGACGUGAUAAAAACCCCACUCCAGACAGAUGCAGCCAGGAACAUAGGGUUCCCUUCUUUCACCCAGCUCCCACUUGUGGGACAGAGACUCUAUGCUGGGUCUGGCACACCGAAAGUACUGGGAUCUGAUUCACCCUGCCCCAGUUCAUUCAUAAAGCAGAGUUUCCAUGCCCAGACAAGGAAGCCAAGAAUACCAAUGGUUACAGAACAGAGAUGAAAGAAAUAAAGAAUACAAAAAUAAUAGAGAAAAUUAAUAAACCAAAAAGUUGGUGAUUUGAAAAGAACAGCAAAGUUGACAAACCUGUAGCUUGAUUGAUCAAGGAAGAGAGAGAGAAGGUUCAGAUAAAAGGGGGGACAUUACUAUUCACCUUACAGAAAUAAAAGGAUUCUAAAAGAAUAUGAUAAACACUUACAUGCUAAUAAAUUAGAUAACUUAGAUAAAAUGGACAAUUUCCUAAAAAGACACAGACUGAAUCAAGAAAAAAAUAGAAAAUCUGAAUAGCCUUAAAUAAGUAAACAGAUUGAAUUUGUCAUUUUAAAACUAUCUGCAAAGAAAGGUCCAGACCCAGAUGACUUCACUGGUGACUUCCUUUUUUCUCCCCCAGUUUUAUUGAGAUACAAUUGACAUAUAAGAUUAUGUAAGUUAAAGGUAUACAACAUAAUGAUUUGAGGUAGGUACAUACUGCAAAAUGAUUACCAUUCACUGGAGAAUUCUACCAAAUAUUUAAAGAAUAAUAAACAAUUCUUCAUAAACUCUUCCACGAAAUAGAAGAGGGAAGAACUGUUCCCAUUUUAUCUUCUGAGGCCGCUAUUACCCUGAUACCAAGACCAGACAAAUACAUCUCAAAAAAUGAAAACCAUACCAAGAUCUCUUAUGGACAUCAGUGCAGAAAGAUUUUUUAAAUGUUUAUUUGUUUUUGAGAGAGACAGGAAGC